rnacentral:rRNA from 1 species
ACGAACGCUGGCGGCGUGCUUAACACAUGCCAGUCGAACGGAAAGGCCCCUUUGGGGGUACUCGAGUGGCGAACGGGUGAGUAACACGUGAGGAACCUGCCCUUGACUUCGGGAUAACUUCAGGAAACUGGGGCUAAUACCGGAUAGGAAUCCUUGCUGCAUGGUGGGGGUUGGAAAGCUUCGGCGGUUUUGGAUGGACUCGCGGCUUAUCAGCUUGUUGGUGGGGUAGUGGCUUACCAAGGCUUUGACGGGUAGCCGGCCUGAGAGGGCGACCGGCCACAUUGGGACUGAGAUACGGCCCAGACUCCUACGGGAGGCAGCAGUGGGGAAUAUUGCACAAUGGGCGGAAGCCUGAUGCAGCAACGCCGCGGGCGGGAUGACGGCCUUCGGGUUGUAAACCGCUUUCAGCAGGGGCGAAGCUUGUGGUGACGGUACCUGCAGAAGAAGCACCGGCUAACUACGUG